UCGAUAUAAUGGACUUUCAUCUCUAUAUAGUUCAUUAGAUGGAGGUUUCACAUCUAACAGACCCUCGAUAUAAUGGACUUUCAUCUCUAUAUAGUUCAUUAGAUGGAGGUUUAACUGUAGAUUAGAUCAUGGAGCGGUUAAUCUGAAUCUAGUAUUAGUGCGGAAAUAUCCUUUGAGUGUCUUAUGAAUGCUCUACUGGAGACUGUGGGUUAGGUUGGGUUGGGUUGGGUUAGGUUAGGUUAGGUUAGGUUAUUGUUAUUAUCUGGUGCUAUUUUAAAUAAUAUUAGAGUGUUUAUUAUAAGAAAUUUAUUAAUCUAUUGAGCAGCUAAUGUAAAGCCUAGCAUAGGAUAAGUAAUUGGUGUCACCUCAAAAUUGACCUGACCUAACUUAAUCUAACCUAACUUCACCAUAACCUGACUUCACCAUAACCUGCCUUCACCAUAACCUGACUUCACCAUAAAAUAACCUAACCUAACCCUCCCCCCCCCAAGUAAUAAUAAUGAGAACAACAUGUAGAUAAAAUAAACCGAGGCGUCUGAUCUGAUGUCCGUAAGAUAACAAAUUACUAACUAACUGCAGCUAAAGUCCUCAUAUGCAAAUUAACAUGUACUUAAUGUAAUAAAUAAUUCCUAUUAAAUUAUGACUAGUAGAUGUUUAUGGUGGUCGUCCGUGCACAAAAUCCGGAACGGGUGGUGGAAGGUAUCACAAUAAGCGGUAGUUACUUAAAAUUGUUUCUUCCUUUGGGGUUAUAAGGUGACAGACUUAAACCACACUUAUAAAGCUGCUUCUCUACUUACGAAUAACUUAUGUUCCUGAAUCUUGUUUGUAAGUUAGUUUUAAUUAUGAGAGUCCAUUGGUUCUUGAGUAUUUUUUGUAAGUGUUUGGUCGUAAGUCCUUUUUUUUUUUGUAAGUGUUUGUUCGUGAGUCAAUUAAUUUGCGAGUGUAUGUUUUUGUGAGUCCAUUGGUUUCUAAGUCAAUUUAUUCGUGAGUAUGUGUUCGUACGUCCAUCUGUUCAUGAGUCAAAUUAUUCGUAAGUCAAUUUAUUCGCGAGUCGAUAUAUUCCUAAGUCUAUGUGUUCGUACGUCCAUC